AUUGAACGCUGGCGGCAUGCCUUACACAUGCAAGUCGAACGGUAGCAGGUCUUUCGGGAUGCUGACGAGUGGCGAACGGGUGAGUAAUACAUCGGAACGUGCCUAGUAGUGGGGGAUAACUACUCGAAAGAGUGGCUAAUACCGCAUGACAUCUAAGGAUAAAAGCAGGGGACCUUCGGGCCUUGUGCUACUAGAGCGGCCGAUGGCAGAUUAGGUAGUUGGUGGGAUAAAAGCUUACCAAGCCAACGAUCUGUAGCUGGUCUGAGAGGACGAUCAGCCACACUGGGACUGAGACACGGCCCAGACUCCUACGGGAGGCAGCAGUGGGGAAUUUUGGACAAUGGGCGCAAGCCUGAUCCAGCAAUGCCGCGUGCAGGAUGAAGGCCUUCGGGUUGUAAACUGCUUUUGUACGGAACGAAAAGCUCUGGGCUAAUACCUCGGAGUCAUGACGGUACCGUAAGAAUAAGCACCGGCUAACUACGUGCCAGCCGCCGCCGUAACAC
rnacentral:rRNA from 1 species